rnacentral:rRNA from 1 species
GACGAACGCUGGCGGCGUGCUUAACACAUGCAAGUCGAACGAAGUGGCGAACGGGUGAGUAACGCGUAAUCAACCUGCCCUUCAGUGGGGGACACCAGUUGGAAACGACUGCUAAUACCGCAUACUGAAGGAGGGGAUUGCGUCUGAUUAGCUAGUUGGAGGGGUAACGGCCCACCAAGGCGAGGAUCAGUAGCCGGUCUUAGGGAAUGAAAGGCCAAAUUGGGACUGAGACACGGGCCAGACUCCUACGGGAGGCAGCAGGGGGGAAUCUGCCGCAAGGGACGAAAGUCUGACGGAGCAACGCCGCGUUAGUGAUGACGGCCUUCGGGUUGGAAAGCUCUGUUAAUCGGGACGCGGUACCGGAAUAGAAAGCCACGGCUAACUACGUGCCAGCCGCCGCGGUAAUAC